rnacentral:rRNA from 1 species
AGAGUUUGAUCCUGGCUCAGGACGAACGCUGGCGGCGUGGAUUAGGCAUGCAAGUCGAACGCGAAAGCAUAGCUUCGGUUAUGUUAGUAGAGUGGCGAACGGGUGAGUAACGCGUAGGUAAUCUGCCUUUAAGUGGGGGACAGCCCCGGGAAACCGGGAUUAAUACCGCAUAUGAAGCAGUUCUAAAGGUGGCCUCUGAUUCAAGCUAUCGCUUAAAGAUGAGCCUGCGUCCUAUUAGCUAGUUGGUGAGGUAACUGCUCACCAAGGCAGUGAUAGGUAGGCGGCCUUAACGGGUGGUCGCCCACACUGGGAUUGAGAUACGGCCCAGACUCCUACGGGAGGCAGCAGUCGAGAAUAGUCUACAAUGGGGAAAACCCUGAUAGUGCGACGCCGCGUGGAUGAAGAAGCUUUUCGGAGUGUAAAAUCCUUUUCUGAGUGAGCAAUACUUUAUAGAUUAAUAGUUUAUAGAGGGAGAUAUUAGCUCAGGAAUAAGCCACGGCUAACUCCGUGCCAGCAGCCGCGGUAAUACGGGGGUGGCAAGCGUUGUCCGGAAUUACCAGGCGUAAAGGGCUAGUAGGCGGAAAUUUAAGUCAGGUGUUAAAGGCGUCGGCUCAACCGGCGUAUGGCAUUUGAUACUGGAUUUCUAGAAUAAGGUAGAAGAAGAUGGAAUUCCUGGUGUAGCGGUGGAAUGCGCAGAUAUCAGGAAGAACACCAGUGCGAAGGCGAUCUUCUAGGCCAUUAUUGACGCUGAAUAGCGAAGGUGUGGGUAUCGAACAGGAUUAGAUACCCUGGUAGUCCACACAGUAAACGAUGUGCACUAGGUGUUGGGAGGGAAGAACCUUUCAGUACCGCAGCUAACGCGUUAAGUGCAUCGCCUGGGGAGUACGAUCGCAAGGUUAAAACUCAAAGGAAUUGACGGGGGCCCGCACAAGCGGUGGAGCAUGUGGUUUAAUUCGAUGCAACGCGAAUAACCUUACCUGGGCUUGACAUCCUCGGAACCCUGCAGAGAUGCGGGGGUGCCUCUUUGAGGAACCGGGAGACAGGUGCUGCAUGGCUGUCGUCAGCUCGUGUCGUGAGAUGUUGGGUUAAGUCCCGCAACGAGCGCAACCCCUAUUUCUAGUUACCAGCACUUCGGGUGGGGACUCUAGAGAGACUGCCAGUGUAAUAAACUGGAGGAAGGUGGGGACGACGUCAAGUCAUCAUGGUCCUUAUGUCCAGGGCUACACACGUGCUACAAUGGCCGGUACAGAGGGAGGCGAAGCCGCAAGGUGGAGCAAAACCCAGAAAGCCGGUCUCAGUUCGGAUUGGGGUCUGCAACUCGACCCCAUGAAGUCGGAAUCGCUAGUAAUCGCGUAUCAGCAUGACGCGGUGAAUAC